rnacentral:rRNA from 1 species
UGGGGAAUAUUGCACAAUGGGCGAAAGCCUGAUGCAGCAACGCCGCGUGAGUGAUGAAGGCCUUCGGGUUGUAAAGCACUUUUGUCCGGAAAGAAAUCCUUGGCUCUAAUACAGUCGGGGGAUGACGGUACCGGAAGAAUAAGCACCGGCUAACUACGUGCCAGCAGCCGCGGUAAUACGUAGGGUGCAAGCGUUAAUCGGAAUUACUGGGCGUAAANCGUGCGCAGGCGGUUUUGCUAAGACCGAUGUGAAAUCCCCGGGCUCAACCUGGGGAACUGCAUUGGUGACUGGCAGGCUAGAGUAUGGCAGAGGGGGGUAGAAUUCCACGUGUAGCAGUGAAAUGCGUAGAGAUGUGGAGGAAUACCGAUGGCGAAGGCAGCCCCCUGGGCCAAUACUGACGCUCAUGCACGAAAGCGUGGGGAGCAAACAGGAUUAGAUACCCCUGGUAGUCCACGCCCUAAACGAUGUCAACUAGUUGUUGGGGAUUCAUUUCCUUAGUAACGUAGCUAACGCGUGAAGUUGACCGCCUGGGGAGUACGGUCGCAAGAUU